ACACUUUAUGUGCUUGCAAUAAGAGUGAUAUUACAACUAAAAAUAAUCUGAUGUGUUUUACACCUGUGGGUUUUAUCCCACUUGCCCCAAGUAUCUCGUGGUAACAUUGUAUACGAAGUAAGUUUUAGUUUUUUAUGGUUUCCGAGUAGUUGUAGUGUCUCUGUCUGUAUAUGAUGUGCAAUUCGUAGGUUUAAUUGAGUCUUCCUUGUGGCGCUCUUCGCUACUUCUUUCACUGCGCGUGAGUGAAUUGUUCUGCUGCCGUAACGUAAAACGGUACAACUAAAUUUUUUAUAAAUCCUAAGGCUGGGUUGCACCAACUUACUUUAACAGUGACAAACGUCAAAAAUAUUUUUCGGUCAAAUUUAGGUUGUGCAACUCAGCCUAAGUGUUGAAUAUUGUUUUGUUACAUUCACGUCAAAGUAAAUGGUUUCCUAACCCAGAAACACACCGUAAGAUUGUUAUAGAAAGAUAUAUUUUAAAAAAGUCUCGAAUAACCUUGGUUUUACAAAUAAUUUAGUUGUUCCCUUUUACGUAAAGGCGGCAAUGUAGUCGACGCUUUGUCGAGUUAGUUUCGUGCAAUCAGUUUUCAGUGAACACAGUGUCUUGUCAUAUCCUUUGACGCGAAACGUAAUCAGAGGCCGUAGCGUGAACAAGACUGCUUCAGAAAACAAAAAAUAUUAAAUUAUCAGUAUGUACUUACAGUAAAAUAACGUGUCUUAUGAUUUCAAUACGAUUACACAUAAAUAUGUUAGCAGUAUUGUUAACAUACUUCAAACUAUAAAUGAUUUUGCUGUAAAUUCACAAACAAUCCAAAUGAUACAUUUUAAAGCAUCUAACAGGUUUAUCCUUGUCUCUGCUCAUACUGCGGCCUCUGUAUACAAACUACAGCGUCUAUGGAUUGAGGUUAUUGUAUGUAACAUGUAUGUAGUAAGCACCCAAAGUAUGAGUGUAUAUUUUUCACGUGGCGAGCUCCGAUGAUCGAACCCCCCGGGGUAUUUAUUAUAAGUAGGUAGUAAAUAAAAGUAGUUAAUCAGUUUUAAAACCCUUGUCACACUGGCAGCGGAGCGAACGCGUAAGAGGCGCGAUAUCAAGCUCAUUUUUAACUAAGGCCUAACAUUUGUGAUCAUAAUAUUCAAUAUGAAGCUUUGCUUACUCGACUGAACAGGCCUAAUAUGUUUCGAAGAUGAUCAACAUUUGUAGAUACCUCGGCGCGUUCGCUACGCCCUGUGACAUAAGAUAUUCGAGAUACCGGGAGAGAUUUAGGUUACCCUAAAAAGGGUGCUGUGUUCGAUUUUAACCGCGAGGGCAAUCACAUAGUGGUGCUCAAUAUACAUAAUGUGCCCUCUCGGACCGAACGCCCUUGUAGCUCAGAUAGGGAAGCGAAUUAGUGGCGAUCCCAAGCGAUUUCAUGUGUAGCUUCGUGUUCGCUUCGCUGUCUGUGUAGUGAGGGCUUUAUACUCGAACACGUAAUUUGACAUAAACGUUGUUAAGUCUGAAUGUAUAGAAUAAUAAAUAUCAAUCAUUAUCGUCUGCUAUAAUUGUUAUAGUAUAAAAACUGCUUAAUCAAUAAAUAUGUAAUAAUUUAGAUAAAAGUACAAAACUUGAAUUUUACGAGAUAACCUGUUAAAUCCUCGUUGAUUUCAAAUUCUUAUUAAACGUGUCUUAACACUCUUGAAGUAAGAAAACUAAAUAUAAACUGUUUAAAGACCAUCUCCCGGUACUCUGACGUCAAGAUGGUGGUUAAUAAAUGUAAGAUACCAUGUGAUACAUCGCACACUAUCACCUGCAUAUAGUUAGCGCCGCGAUCUCAGUCUGCGACUUUGGUACUAACAGACAUGGAGUUACAAGAGUUUUCUUUGGCGCUACCAUAAACGCUAAAAUAAGUAAAAGAAAAUGAGUUUAAUGCAUUUUUUGCAUUGCGUUUUUCAUUUUAGGUCUAGCGUUUAUAACUUAGUCAAUGCCUGACGUAUGAGAGCAGCAUGGGAGGGUGUUUUUGACCAAACGUCAGCGAGACUUCUGCCCCCUUAGACAAAACGCACUUUUUGAUCGAAUCGAAAAUCGAAUCCGUCAAAACUCCAUACAAAAAAGGGGCUUUUCGACCACUUUUCGACUGGUUUGAGUUUAUAAUUUGCACUUUGUCUAGACCUACAGUUCUCUUUCAGAUUUGUUUGCUCUGUCACUUCAUAAUAAGUCCCGUCCCCUCCCGUGUACUCCUAUACCCCAGACUCUAGCGCUUAAAUUCUGGCAUGACAAUACAUAGGAAAUCACAAUUAAAUGAAUUUUAAUCAUAAUAAAUUUAUUAUUUAUUAGCAUCUGGGUAGCGCCAAUGUUAAUAUUUGUAACCACAUGUUUUAGCUUAUUUAAUUAUAUCACCAUAAAUUUAAUAUUGAGGCGGUUUUGCAUUCAAACUAUUUUCUAUAAUACAAAAUAGUAUAUGAAAUUUUUAUACAUUACCAAACCUUAUUUACUAGAAACAAGCUAUAUUCUGUAGCCCAUAUCGUAUUUUUUAAAUGAUCAGGAACUUCUUAGUGUGAUCUUCAGACUUAUCUACCCAAAGAUUUAUCAUAUACCUAUAUCUAUAAUAUAUCAAACAUAAAUGUAUCUACUUUCAAAAUCAAAUAUACCAACUUAAGAUCAAAUAGGAGCAUGUUUUGAAGUGGCAUGUGUAAAAUAUAGUAGGUAAAUGAAUUUGACUUAUAUUAUGAAAUGCCUUUAUGAAAUAAUUUCGAAUGUUAAUAUUACUAUAUCCUGCUCCUGAAGCAAUAUAUUUUUGUAUGACCUAAUCCAAACGUGGCUUAAUUCAUUAUAAGCCUUUUAAUUAUUGUAAA